rnacentral:rRNA from 1 species
GUGAGGAAUAUUGGACAAUGGGCGCAAGCCUGAUCCAGCCAUGCCACGUGCAGGAAGACGCAUCUAUGGUGUGUAAACUGCUUUUGUACGGGAAGAAACACUCCCUCGUGAGGGAGCUUGACGGUACCGUAAGAAUAAGGAUCGGCUAACUCCGUGCCAGCAGCCACGGUAAUACGGAGGAUCCAAGCGUUAUCCGGAAUCAUUGGGUUUAAAGGGUCCGUAGGCGGUUUAAUAAGUCAGUGGUGAAAGCCCAUCGCUCAACGAUGGAACGGCCAUUGAUACUGUUAGACUUGAAUUACAAGGAAGUAACUAGAAUAUGUAGUGUAGCGGUGAAAUGCUUAGAUAUUACAUGGAAUACCAAUUGCGAAGGCAGGUUACUACUUGUGGAUUGACGCUGAUGGACGAAAGCGUGGGGAGCGAACAGGAUUAGAUACCCCGGUAGUCC